CAAGUCGAGGGGCAUCGCGGGUAGCAAUAUCUGGCGGCGACCGGCAAACGGGUGCGGAACACGUACGCAACCUUCCUUUAAGCGGGGAAUAGCCCAGGGAAACUUGGAUUAAUACCCCAUAAGAUUAUGGUGUGGUAUCACACAGUAAUUAAAGCUCCGGCACUUAAAGAUGGGCGUGCGGCUGAUUAGGUAGUUGGCGGGGUAACGGCCCACCAAGCCUACGAUCAGUAACUGGUGUGAGAGCACGACCAGUCACACGGGCACUGAGACACGGGCCCGACUCCUACGGGAGGCAGCAGUAAGGAAUAUUGGUCAAUGGACGCAAGUCUGAACCAGCCAUGCCGCGUGGAGGAUGAAGGCCCUCUGGGUUGUAAACUUCUUUUAUUUGGGAAGAAACCCAUCUUUUCUAAGGUGGUUGACGGUACCAGAUGAAUAAGCACCGGCUAACUCCGUGCCAGCAGCCGCGGUAAUACGGAGGGUGCAAGCGUUAUCCGGAUUCACUGGGUUUAAAGGGUGCGUAGGUGGGCAGGUAAGUCAGUGGUGAAAUCUCCGGGCUUAACCCGGAAACUGCCGUUGAUACUAUCUGUCUUGAAUAUAGUGGAGGUGAGCGGAAUAUGUCAUGUAGCGGUGAAAUGCUUAGAUAUGACAUAGAACACCCAUUGCGAAGGCAGCUCGCUACACUAUCAUUGACACUGAGGCACGAAAGCGUGGGGAUCAAACAGGAUUAGAUACCCUGGUAGUCCACGCCCUAAACGAUGGAUACUCGACAUCAGCGAUACACAGUUGGUGUCUGAGCGAAAGCAUUAAGUAUCCCACCUGGGAAGUACGACCGCAAGGUUGAACUCAAAGGAUUGACGGGGGGUCC
rnacentral:rRNA from 1 species